CUUUGCUGGGGGUUAGCUGCGCCAAUAGCGGCGUUUCAGAGGGCCAUGGGGGUUAAACAAGUUAUGUCUACUUUUAUUAACAAAACUAUAUAUAUAUUGUGUUACGGAUAGAUGUCGCUUGUUUUGAUAUAGUUCACAGAUACAGCGAUAUAAGUUGAGUCCCCGACGUUUUCCCACCCCGGGAAAGCUUAUACUGACGCACUGCCUGGUGUAAUCCACCCCCCUGUAUCCCUUCUGACGCGCACCAGAAGAGUGAAGAUAACCAAUAAACUUUUCCAGGACAUUAUGAUGGACGAAAAUCAUGGAUUUCUUCAAGCCCGAAGCACGUGCAUCACCGAGCUUAGGGCCAAACAUAAGUUUAACGCAAACUUCCGAACAGAUCGUUUAAAAAACAGAUUUUUUAUUCGGCUAGUUCACCGCUAAAAUUCUAGCCAAAUUGAAUAACACUAAACAGUAAAACUGACCAUAUUAAUAAUAGUCUUUUAGAGUAACCUCUUAUCUCUUGUUGACCAACUUUAGUUGGUAAUAUUGGUUGUAAUAUAGCUACAGAGUACAGUAAUUGG